AGAGCGAACGCUGGCGGCAGGCCUAAUACAUGCAAGUCGAACGAACCCUUCGGGGUUAGUGGCGGACGGGUGAGUAACACGUGGGAACGUGCCCUUUGGUUCGGAACAACUCAGGGAAACUUGAGCUAAUACCGGAUAAGCCCUUCGGGGGAAAGAUUUAUCGCCAUUGGAGCGGCCCGCGUCUGAUUAGCUAGUUGGUGAGGUAAAGGCUCACCAAGGCUUCGAUCAGUAGCUGGUCUGAGAGGAUGAUCAGCCACACUGGGACUGAGACACGGCCCAGACUCCUACGGGAGGCAGCAGUAGGGAAUCUUGCGCAAUGGGCGAAAGCCUGACGCAGCCAUGCCGCGUGAAUGAUGAAGGUCUUAGGAUUGUAAAAUUCUUUCAGCGGGGACGAUAAUGACGGUACCGCAGAGAACGCCCGGCUAACUCGUGCCAGCAGCCGC
rnacentral:rRNA from 1 species